rnacentral:rRNA from 1 species
UACGUAGGGUGCAAGCGUUGUCCGGAAUCAUUGGGCGUAAAGCGCGUGUAGGCGGCUGAGUAAGUCUGCUCUGAAAGCCCGGGGCUCAACCCCGGGAGGCGGGUGGAUACUGCUCAGCUCGAGUCCGGAAGAGGAGUGUGGAAUUCCUGGUGUAGCGGUGAAAUGCGCAGAUAUCAGGAGGAACACCGAUGGCGAAGGCAGGUCUCUGGGCAUUAACUGACGCUAAGGAGCGAAGGCAUGGGGAGCGAACAGG